AUGAUGAAGAGAAGAAGAAAACGGCGGCGAGAAGGUCUCAGGGGCGGUUUCCAGCGAAGAAGAAGGGUGAUUCCGACAAGUUCUGAGUCAGGUGCGGUGACUGUUUUUCAGGUGAAGUUUUUUCUUCCUUCUCACUGUGUAUUCUCUCUGAGUCCUAAAAAAAUCUCCCUCUAUUUAGUGCUAAUGAAUCCUUUUAUACAGUUAGACUAUGGCUUGGCCCAAUAA